UACGUAGGGGGCAAGCGUUGUCCGGAAUUAUUGGGCGUAAAGAGCUCGUAGGCGGUUUGUCGCGUCUGCUGUGAAAACGCGAGGCUCAACCUCGCGCCUGCAGUGGGUACGGGCAGACUAGAGUGUGGUAGGGGGAGAUUGGAAUUCCUGGUGUAGCGGUGGAAUGCGCAGAUAUCAGGAGGAACACCGAUGGCGAAGGCAGAUCUCUGGGCCGUUACUGACGCUGAGGAGCGAAAGCGUGGGGAGCGAACAGG
rnacentral:rRNA from 1 species